AGAUAGUGUCAUGAGACUGCCAAAAUCCAAAACAAGGAACUAUGACAACUAAAGCACAACUCCUCUGCAGUUUUACUGAGAGGAAAUAUAUUGCUUUUAAAUUGUCAAGUUUGCUAAUCAAAAUAUCAUUAAAUUCUCACAAAAUAUGAAAUAAAUAAAAGUUACAAAAUUGAAAAUGAAUGGACACCUUUGCUUGGAGGACUACAAAUGUUCAAAAUUAGGGUAUGUCUAGGUGCCACCGGUCUUCUACAAUGUAAGAAACAUAUAUUCAUAUAUAUACCAUGGCUGUCCUUCUUUAUUCGAUAAUAGAGAGUGAUAGCAUAAGAAAUGACCUCUUACAUUUUUUGUUAUAGGAAAAAAAUAAUAGCAUUGUUAGUUUUGAACUCUUAAUUUAACUGCAGAAGCAGAUAAAAAAUUGUAAGUGAAAUUUUAUUUCUCUAUUCCAGAAUUUUGCAAGAUAAAGGAUUAUCAAAGUUUUCAGCUGUUAUGGAAUUUACAGAGAACCUGUAUAAUUCAGGUUGUAGGUCUCCACAUUUGCUUGGUUACAUCAUAGAUUGUAUUGAGGAAUCCCUGCUCAGUGAUCCAAAUCCUGAAUUGUUCCAGAAAGCAAUAGAUCUUUGUGAAGCAUUAGCAAGCAAGCAUGAUACAAUUAGGAAAGAAUACUGGAAUUACAUAGCUAGGAAUUUAGGACAUUUGUAUGGUCCAGAAGAAGCUCAUGCUCAUGCCAGUGAAAAUAAUUCAUAAAAUGGGGGACACUUAUGCAAAAUUGCCUUCAUUUUGUACAAAAUGUAUUAUUUUGUGUUAAUUCUCUUUUCAUCAGUUCUGAUAUUAAAAGGAAUUUAUCAUUUGUGCAAUUAAAGGUAAAAUUAUGUUGUUCACAAGAUUAUGCAUGCUAGAGAUUUUGCAUAUUUUUAUCAAUGUGUCUUGCUAAUAUAUAAUGCAGAUUUAAAAUCUAAAUGAUAAUUGUAACUGAUAAGUUUAAUUAUGCAGUUAAGAAGCUUAAAGUUGUGUGUUUAUGUGUAUAAAGAUAAACACAAACAAAGAUUUUUUAUUAAAAUUAUGUUACAAGAAUUUUUUUAUCAUGCUGAAAUUAACAGUACAGAUAAAAUUCUUAAGAUUUAGGCACUCAGAGCUGUAUUUAUGAAAUUUUUUUGUUGUAAUGUCUUUUUGUUUUAGCAUGGUCUUAACUAUGAUUUUGAUUUCACUGUAAUGGUUUCCAUAAUAAAUGCUAGUGAGCAUAAAAUUAAUAAUUUAAUUUGUUUUAUUUUUGUUUAUUUAUUUACGAGGGCCAGUCUGAAAUUUUUGAGAUACAUAUAGGUUUUUAAAAUUAUACUUACAAAAUGUUAGGAGUGUCUCCUUCAGCAUCAGUGCACUUCUAUAAGCAAAUUUUCCAACGAUUAAAUGCUUCAAGCCAUUCAUUUAUUGGAAUUGAUGAAAAAAAAAAUGCAUCUAUAGACUCAUCAAUCUUAUCUGUGGAAUGAAAACGAUAUCCACAUAAUUUCUUUUUUAGAUUAUAACAGUCACACAUGGCUAAAUCAGGUGGAUAGGGUUAAUAUUCUAUCACUUUGAUGUGUUUUUGUUCAAGGAACUCAACUGUCAGUCUUGCUGAAUGAGAAGAUACAUUGUUGUGAUGGAGCAUGAGUCCUCUAUCCUUCCCUUUUUGAAGAAUUCUGAAAGGCAGUGGUGUACCAGUUAGCUGUAACUGUCUUUUGUCCUUCUAGCUUGAUGGCUUUGACCAGUCCUGUACUUUUGAAGAAAACAGCGUGCAUUAUUUUUUUAUCGCACAUUGUCUUUUCAUUAUUGUGGGCAUGGGAUAAUCUUCGAAAACCCAUACUUUUAAUUUCUUGAUGUGUUAGAAUGUUUAAAAAAAAAAAAAAAAAAUAACAAUAAUUUGUGAGUUUCACCACCAGUUACAAUUUUAGAAAUAAUGCAGUGCCCACUUUCUGUAAGUAAUUUAAGGGUUUCUUCAGUGAUUCUGACAUGCUCUUUUUUUUUUUUUUUUUUUCUAUUCAGUUAAAUUAUGGAGAAGCCAGUGGCAAACUAGUUUUUUCAUAUGUAAUUAAUGAGUAAUGUUGCGUAUGGUGGUGGAUCCAGUGUUAAGUUCCUUUUGUAUCAUUCGGUAGGUGCAGUGAUUAUCAUCAACAUUUUCCAUAUGACAGACACAUUAUCCAGGAUUACUGCUGACAACGGCUUUCCUGCAUGUUCUUCAUUCCAAAGAGGUUGCGUCCUCUAUGAAAUUCUGUAAACCAUCUGAAUACAGUAGCACAAGAUAAACCUUCAUUUCCAGAUGCUAACUGUAGACAUUGAUUGCAUUCUUCUUGAUUUAAUCCUGCUUUAAAAUCGUAGAAAAUCAUAGUGCGAUAAUUUUCUCACAUCAACUACAUUUUUUUCUUCUGCAAAAAUUUAUUCUGCACUAAACUACUUAACAGUUUUCCAAUAAAAAAUUGUCUGCUAGUCUAAAAUAAUCCAUAUUUUCAAAUUUAACCAUAUUUUUUUUUUCUGCCACGUUGAUAUUGAUCUUCAUGAAAAGCAGCUUUAAUCACAAAUAAUGAUUAAUUUUAUAAACUGUUUCCUCCCUUUACUUCUUUCUUUGUAUUCACUUGUAAUGGUAAUUACAGCAACCUAAUGCAGAUUGUUAUAAGUAACAGGUUAACCCCCUUCCCCCCCCCAAGUCUGAUAUCAACUUUAUUAUCUGUGGGAACAAAUGCAGACUCAAAAUUUUAUUUUAGGAUUAUAGAUAUUUUAAAUUUAUAACUUCAUUCUUUUCCAAUAAUUAAAAAGUUGAGAAUUUAUUAUUUACGAAACAGAAAUUUCAAAUUUAUGCUGUCUUUGUUGUUUAGUUUUAGUUCUUACAAUGUGUGUUUAAAAAUGCAUAUUUAUGAUUAAUAAAUAAGUUAUAGGAAGAAAAAGGGGAAGUUGUAUUUUAUAAAGUAUUCAAAUUGAACAGAAUUUGUAAUUGGAAAUAUUUAGUCAUUUGAGUUUAUUUAGAGUAUUCUUAAUGAUUGUUUUUAAGUGUAAACUAGCAAUUGUAUGUUUAUUAAUUUACUUUUGUAUGACAUUAAACAUUCUUCAUUAUUAUUAUUAUUUUAAUGCAUAAUGGUGACUUCUGUAACUAUUAAGUUUUAUUUACAAAAAUUUUAUUGUGAUAAAAAUGCGAUUAACACAAUACUUUUUAUGCUAAAGCUUUAGUUGUUUUAUAAUGUGAUAUUAAGAUAAAAAUUUAUUUUUCUGGUACUGUUUAUUAAUUUUAUAAGACAUUUGAUAACAUAAUCUUUGAAGAGUCUUUUUUUCUAUAUUUUACCACAAAAAGUUGAGUGUCAUUAGAAGAAGCCAACAUGGCAACAUAAAUGUACUAUACAUUUUACUAAUGGAAAUUCACUAACUAGGCCAAAAAAAAAAAAAAAGAUAGAUCCAUUAAAUAUGAUACUAAAAUGAAAUGCAGUAUGUCUUUUAUGUUUCCAAAAUUAUGUAUACCAAAUCUGUGAUUUAAAAAUUUUGAUUCUGAAAAGUUCAAAUGUUUAGAUUACAGAUUCUUUGACAAUAAAUGUGAAAUUUAUUUUGAAGCUUCUCAGUAGGAAAGAAAAAUGGAAAUCUUAAUUGUAAGGAAACAAAUAGUUUUUGUUAGUGUUGAACUUUAUGCAAAUAACAUUUCAAAUGCACAUUUAAAAAUUAUUAAGCAUAUCUUAAAAAGUUCUGUGAAAUGUGGGAUAAGUGAGGUACUUGCUUGAUGUAAAAGAAUGAAUGUGUGUAUAAAAUUAAAAUAUAAUGACUUAUAUGAACAUGAUAAUUGAAAGGCACAGUUUUAAAAUUUUCUCCAGAUAUUAAAAUCUCUUUGUACUCCUCUCAUUUUCUUAUUAGAUAUUACCUUUGCUAAAGCUGGAGGAGUAAAGCUGCAAAAGUUUCAUGAAAGCUAUAAAAUAAUUAAUAAGGUUUUCUGUUUUGGUAAUUACACAAAAUACUCUGGAAUCAAAUAUAGAGAUGUAAAUUGAUUUUGUAGCAGUCCUAAUCAGUUUUUAUUUGCCUAAGGAUGACAUAGAUUACAUAUGCCUAGGCAUUAUUGUUACCAGAAAAUAUUUAUUUUUGCUGUUACGAAAGUAUAUUGACUUUAAAAUUUUGCUACUCCUUUUUCUGUCACUUUGAUAAUCAUAUGUAUUGAUUAGAUUUCAGUCUUUAUUUAGUUUAUGGAUAUAAGAGUAGCAACACACAUAUUUGAUUGUAAAAUUUACUAGUUUUCAUCUUGUGCAAAAUCAAUAACAAUACCCAUCUAUAUUAAAAUGUAAUUAUGAAGUUUUGUGAAAAUAUAUUAAAAUAUUUUAAAUGAUU